GUAACAAAUAACAAAAAACAUCAUUCCAAGUAUAAAUAAUGCAUCGAUCUAGUUAGAAGCAACUGAAUUCAUAAGUCAAAAUUCAUACUUCAAAAUGAAUAAUAAGUUUACAACUUACAUAGAUUGUAGCAUGCAUAUAUAAGAAAUAAACUUAACACUUAUGAUUAAAGCUUAUAUUACCUUAGAUGAAUAUGGAACAUCGGAGAAGUCAACCGGCCUUCAAGAAAAAGAGUUCAUUAGAGAAGUAAGAUUUCUAUAAUUUAAUUAAUGAAAUGUUUGAAAACCACAACCAGAAAGAUGUAACUCAUGGACCUUGAAGACUUUGUACCCGAUGAAUUGUAUUUCGUAUCUGCAAGAAAAAUUAGCUAUUAGAGAAACAAUACACAGUAAAUCAUUAAUGAAAAGAACAUAAACUAACAAUUAUACAAUAUUUAGACAUAAGCUGAUUUAAAAAGGCAAUAGAAAAGAAGGGUUGUGGAGAAAAUAAGGAGAAGCAUGCUGCAGGGAAGAACUGAAGCAUGAGGAGGAUGAUAUUGGAAAUUGAUUGUAUAUACCAUGUUUGAUAAGAAACGGGAGGUACAAUAAAAGCAUAGGAAUCAUAAUCGAUUCUUCUUCAUCUUAUUAAUAACCUCUGAGAUUACCAACUUCACAAAUUCCCCAGGUUUUGAUAGGAACAAAGAGAAGUGUGUAGUUAGAUAUCAAUU
rnacentral:lncRNA from 1 species